rnacentral:rRNA from 1 species
UACAGAGGGGGCAAGCGUUGUCCGGACUUACUGGGCGUAAAGGGUGCGCAGGCGGUCUGAUGCGUCGUCGCUGAAAGCUCUCGGCUCAACUGAGAGAGGCGUGGCGAUACGAUCAGACUCGAGUCUCUGAGAGGGUGGCGGAACUCCUGGUGUAGUGGUGAAAUGCGUAGAGAUCGGCAGGAACACCCAGGGGGAAACCAGCCGACUGGGCACAUGCUGACGCUGAGGUGCGAGAGCGUGGGGAGCGAACCGG